GAGUAAUUUGUGCCCCUCACUCUCUCUCUCUCUCUCUCUCUCUCUCGUCGUCUCUCUUGUUUGGCCCUGGAGAAAGUUUAGGGUUUCGGCUUAGCAUUCAAGGUUGAGAUAAAAUGUUAUCACCUCAAGCAAUUGGUGGAAUUGGUGUUGCCAUCGCUAUGGGUGUUGUUGUCAUCUUCAACAAAAAACCCAACACUCAUAUUAAUUAUGAGUGGAAAAGGCAGGAACGUCCCGUUGUUGUUAAAUCAGUAACCCCAAGCACUGUCACAGUAGCAAUGAGCGCUACAACAACCGAUACCACUAUGGUCGUAGCAAACCCAACCGAUGCUAGUGUAACAAUCACCGUCAACCACUCUUCCCAUUAAUUUGACUUCAUGACUGUAUGAAAAUUAUGGAGUGCUGUAUUAUAUAUGCGUGUUAAUGUCAGUUCGGAUUUUGUUGUUUUUUGGAUUUUAUUCAAGAUUAGCUUCAAUUGAAUUUGCUCUUCUUUUUAA